UAGGCCUACGGGACGCAGCAGUGAGGAAUAUUGGUCAAUGGUCGGGAGACUGAACCAGCCAAGCCGCGUGAGGGAGGAAGGUACAGAGUAUCGUAAACCUCUUUUGUCAGGGAACAAAGGCGGGGACUAGUCCCCGGAUGAGGGUACCUGAAGAAAAAGCAUCGGCUAACUCCGUGCCAGCAGCCGCGGUAAUACGGAGGAUGCGAGCGUUAUCCGGAUUUAUUGGGUUUAAAGGGUGCGCAGGCGGCCUGUUAAGUCUGCGGUAAAAGCCCGGGGCUCAACCCCGGCGGACCGUU
rnacentral:rRNA from 1 species